AGCCUAAUGCACCCUAUUUUCUUGCUGUUUAUCUUCCUGUGAGCAUCUUUACCAAAUACCAAGUAAAAGAGCAUACCUUCAUUAGGUAGAGAAUAAUAGGGUUGGCUUCAUAAUUAUAAUAUAUUUUAUUUUCUAGAGUUUUAUAACAAGAAUUUCAGUAUACUGUGUGGAAUUGCCAACUUUACAUGGAUUUUUGAUAAUGCACCUUGAGUUGAACCAUUAGACAUGUCCUUAGUGAGGCUAGCUACUUGAACUAUAGAAGGA
rnacentral:misc_RNA from 1 species